UAAUAAGAAGCAAAAUUUGCAUUUAGUUUCGACCUAAAAAUCUGAUGUUAACCCAUCCUUAUUUU
rnacentral:tRNA from 1 species